GUAAGAGUGACUUCCUUGCAUUCAUAGUGGCACAUAGUGAGUCAGAUCAGAAAAGAAUGUCAAAAGCAGUGUGGAUUCCCUGAGCAGAAAUGCUACCUUCUCUAAGAAGGGAAAAAAAAAAACCCAGCCAAAACCCAACAGAAACCACCCCAAUCCUAUCAUGCACCCCAUUCUCUUCAAAUCUUUUGGAAUUUGACUUGUCUCAUGUAGGAUUAAAGUCAUGAUCUAAUGUUUCUGUGCGUGAAGUUAACCUACUCUUAGUAAACAAAAAUAUAAGUAUUAAUGCCUUUCUAUGUUAUUUAUGCAUUACACAUCCUUAUUGCACCUUCAUAUUGAAUGGCAAGGUAGAGCGUGCCUCAAGUCACCCCCUCUCUUAUAUUUUAAAAUAUGAUGAUACAGUUGCAUCUUGCACAACCAGAAAUUAAUCAGAUGCAGAGGAAAUGUGACUUGGUUGUCAUGAGCAGGCAUCACGAAUCUAAUUUAUCUCAUCAUUUCUCCACCCCAAACAGAGACAUCACCUCUGACACACUUGCUUAAUUUCCUAGUCCAGCUAUGAAGGCAACUGUUCCAGUUGUACUAGUUGGAAGGUACAUCAUGUUAUUAUUACAUCUCAGUCAUGAAAGCAGAUGCCUACCAAGGUUUUUUGGGACUUCCCCGUCCCCCAGGAUUAUUUCAGCCCUGGACUGUAGAGGAACAUCAAUAUCUCCCAGGUCUUCUUGUGGUCAGACUCCCUCCGUGCCAGAGUUGAAGAGCCAUGAGAGGGAACUCCCAGCCUGGAGUAGGAGGCAACAUUGAGCCAUAAUAUUAAAGAAGAUGGAGGUGGAUAGUGCAGAUUGCUCUGACCAGCACUGAAGAAGUGAUGUGAGGCCACUCCAUCAGUCACAGCAUGGUGAAUCACCUAAACCAGAAAUACAUUGCUGCCUUGCCAGUGAAAACUGAUGUUACAUCAGUGGUUAAGCAAAUGGGAGGAAAACAGUAAGUAACUUCCUUCAGCCUGUCUGGAUUUAAAUCCAGCUACACCAAGAUUAAAAACUCUGCAGUUUCACUGCUAGUUCUUUAAUUUUCCAGUUUGAUGAGAGGUUUGCAAUGAAAUUUGUUUUGUUGUUUCACCCUUGCUUUCUUGUUUGCUAAUGUCUAAAACACAGUAAUUUUUUUGGUAGGAAAAGUUGUUGUACUGUUUCCUAAGACAGGCUUUAAGAUUUUCAUUCAUUCUAUAGUGAACGUGUUCGGGUCCUGCUGCUGUUGGUUGUUGCUCUAGGAUUUAUCUAGCUGCACUAACAGUGGGUGGUAAAUGCAAUAAAAAACAAAACCAAUCAAUUAAGCA
rnacentral:lncRNA from 1 species